CGAUAUUGAGAAAUUUGGGUCUCUCUCUGUGUUUUAAUAAUUCUUUCCUUCUGUAACUCAGUUCCUGUUUUAUUAAUUCCUUGAUGGUUUUUGUUUGAAUUGCAGAAGACACAUCCAAAGCAGUUCUUAUCGGUCAUGACCCCAACAAAACCUCUCAGGACAAAGACACUGUUGAAGCAGCGGUGGCCUGAGCAAAAAACAUAGUUGAAACUUGUAUUAGAUCAAAGAGCGUUAAGCAUCUCAUCUAUACUGCAAGUAUAUUGGCAACUUGGCCGUUGAAGGAAGAUGAGAUUACUUUCAAAUCCUGCAUGGAUGAAUCUUGUUGGACCUCUCUUCAUCUCUCCUUUUCUUCUGGCAACAAUUCUUUGAUGGUAUUUUUUUCUCUCUUUCUUUUUCUCGUUCGUUACAUCAAAAUUAGACUUGUUCAUGGCCAGACGAGUCUAAAGAGAAAUUUCAAAUCUUUUUCAAAGGAUUAUACAAGAGGAAAAACGCUGGUAGAGAAAGAGGUUUUGAGCAAUAACGAAAGAGAUAAUGGCAAAGUGGAAGUAGUAACUCUUGCUUGUGGUCUAGUUUGGGGAGAAACUAUCUUAUCGCAUGUCCCUGUAAGUGUUGAAGUGAUUUAUUGACAAAUUAAAGGCAGUGGUUGCAAUCA